rnacentral:lncRNA from 1 species
AUUUUCAUUUUGGUUUCUGAACCUUUAGGGAUGCACUAGAUUCAUAUUUUCACUUUUUUUCCAAAACCACAAGUUAAAAUCUUUUUUUAUUGGUAUACUUAAUGAAAACUGUGAUUCUCAAGCAAUCAUUUGAUUCCAGAAGUGUGUGCUUUCAGAAUAAAAACACCAAAUAUUGCCAUCCUUGUGGUAAAAUUGCAAUAGUCAGUAAAACUGGUUAUAUGUAUUUGUCUACCUAGACACAUAUGAUGCUGGUAUCAAUGACAAUUGCACUUAAUACAGUUAAGGAUGUGUUUACAUUUUUUUUCUGGAUACAGGCCUUAGUUUGCAAGCUGAAAUUACAACCAUUGAUUGACUGUGACCGCUCCAUAAGGUUCCAUAUAUCUAAAGUGGCCUUAUGUUCCAAUGACAAUUAAUACCAUUUUGGACUUCCCAUAUUAUGUACUUUUCAUAACUUUUAAAUUAAAAAAUAAUAAACCUAAUGUCUGUAACUAAUUCUCUCAUUCUGUGAACACUGAAGCACAUGCUUUUUGGAGGUAGCUGCCGUGGGACAUCUGUAAGGUGUUCGGUAGAUACUGCCAGGUUUAUCAGCUGAGGACGUCCUGAUUUUUUGUACCUCACAGGUGGCAACUCUAUUUCAAAGCCUUUUCUCUUGGUAAAUAUUUUCAUACGGCUACAUUUCAGCGCUGUCCUUCAUUCUGACAAGUUUACUUUUUCCCCCUUCCAAACAGGGGCAUCGUUUGCUGUUGGCAGCAAUCUUGGUUCCCCAGCCCCCCAAAUUUUCAUAGCUCCUCGCCAUGGGUUGUGUGAAAAACAGCCACCUGUCAGAUUUAGCCAUCAGGUUUAGCUACCAGUGGUGGUUUCUAAUACUUUCCAUAUCAUGUCUUGCUUUCCCAUCUUAAUUAAUUACCCCCAACUUUCCACAUGGGUAUCUCAUUCAGAGGGCCCUGCCUGCCGCAUCCCUCCUCACCCCCACGAGCCCCCCCCCCACCUGCCACUUGCCACAUCCUUCCUCACCCCCCGCCACUGCGAGAUGCCGCCCACUGCUCGCCAUGUGCCUCAUCCCCUCCAACCCCUCCCCUGUGAGAAUCCCCACCCACCACUCUCCAUGUCUCUCCUUUCCUCUACCCCCACACCAGAUCCCCCCAACUGCCGCUCGCCGCAUCCCUCCUCACCCCUCCUUGCCCUGGAGACCCCUCCCCCACUCACCACGUCCCUUCUCAACCCCUGCCCCUCACAGGGAUAGGAGAGGAGAGGUCUGGUGAGUCGUGGCGGCUGAGCAGGGAGGGGGCAGGGUCUGGGGCAGAGUGGGGGCG